rnacentral:rRNA from 1 species
UACGUAGGUGGCAAGCGUUGUCCGGAUUUAUUGGGCUUAAAGGGUGCGUAGGCGGCUUUGUAAGUCAGUGGUGAAAUAUGGCAGCUCAACUGUCAGGGUGCCAUUGAUACUGCGGAGCUUGAGUACAGAUGAGGUAGGCGGAAUUGACGGUGUAGCGGUGAAAUGCUUAGAGAUUACAUGGAAUACCAAUUGCGAAGGCAGGUUACUACUAAUGGAUUGACGCUGAUGGACGAAAGCGUGGGUAGCGAACAGG